AUCGAACGCUGGCGGCAUGCUUAACACAUGCAAGUCGAACGGCCGUUUCGGGUUCGGCGUCGCGGCGAUUGGUAACGGGGUGAGUCAUGCAUCCGCGUUUGGACCGUAGCGGGGAAACUCGCGCCGAUAGCGGAAACGAUAUCUCAUACGAACUGAGGGUGACAGCGGGGGGCCGAACGGCUUCUCGCUUUUUGUGCGACCGAUGUCGGAUUAGCUAGUUGGUGGGGUAAAGGCUUACCAAGGCGACGAUCCCUAGCUGGUCUGAGAGGACGACCCGCCACACUGGGACUGAGACACGGCCCAGACUCCGACGGGAGGCAGCAGUGGGGAAUCUUGGGCAAUGGGGGAAAGCCUGAUCCAGCCAUGCCGCGUGCGGGAAGAAGGACUUCGGGUGGGAAAGCGCUGUUGUUCGGGAAGAAAUCCUCUGGGCUAAUACGCCAGGGGAAUGACGGUACCGGAAGAAUAAGCACCGGCUAACUACGUG
rnacentral:rRNA from 1 species